AUUGAACGCUGGCGGCAGGCCUAACACAUGCAAGUCGGACGGUAGCACAGAGGAGCUUGCUCCUCGGGUGACGAGUGGCAGACGGGUGAGUAAUGUCUGGGGAUCUGCCCGAUAGAGGGGGAUAACCACUGGAAACGGUGGCUAAUACCGCAUAACGUCGCAAGACCAAAGAGGGGGACCUUCGGGCCUCUCACUAUCGGAUGAACCCAGAUGGGAUUAGCUAGUAGGCGGGGUAAUGGCCCACCUAGGCGACGAUCCCUAGCUGGUCUGAGAGGAUGACCAGCCACACUGGAACUGAGACACGGUCCAGACUCCUACGGGAGGCAGCAGUGGGGAAUAUUGCACAAUGGGCGCAAGCCUGAUGCAGCCAUGCCGCGUGUAUGAAGAAGGCCUUCGGGUUGUAAAGUACUUUCAGCGGGGAGGAAGGCGGUGAGGUUAAUAACCUCACCGAUUGACGUUACCCGCAGAAGAAGCACCGGCUAACUCCGUGCCAGCAGCCGCCGUAA
rnacentral:rRNA from 1 species